AGCAUUAUCAGCAGGAACUAAAACAGAAUAAAUGACCAAGGUUCUAUAUACAGUUAAAGAGAAGAUUAUAUAUCAAGGUCAUUCAGGACCCUCUCGAGCCUGCAUCACCUCCAGGAAUCCAGAGAACCUUUGGGAGGCUAAAUGCAGGACCAAGAAAGUGGAGGUUUAUGUAGUGGGCCAUCAGAGUGUGAAGAGAAAAUGAACCUAGAAAGGACCACAACAGGAUUCUCAGCCGGACUCCUUUUUGUGUGAGGCAUGUGCAGUCGUCUAACUGCUGUGAGCCAGCUGAAUGUGGUGGAAAUGUAUAUUAUGGGAUGUGCCACGGUUACCAGGGCAAACAGUGAGCAAAGGAGCACAAGCAUGAGAGAACACAGGCCCCCAACUGCAGGUAGGUGAUCUGUGGCUGGGUGCAGCGGUUCAGUAGCAUUCCUCAACUCGUUGUUGUGCUUAACGAAGGAAAUCUCAACAUGCUUAUUAGACUGACAGUAUCAUGUUAUUUGAUAAAAAUUUUUAAAAUAACGAAAUAAUACUGCAUGAGACCAUGUCAUGCGUUAUAGGCCAUGCAGAAAAGAACUGUGCCCUAGUUGUGGUAACAGGAGUAACAUAGUAGUGGGAUUAUCCAUACAAGUGUACUCAUGUGAAAUCCUUAUCUUUGUCACGUAGGGAGAGAAAAACAAACAUAAAACAUAGAAUUAACUGUUGAUUAUAAUUUAGUGAAGGAUGAACACAUCUAGGUUACUUAUUAACACUAUCUUGUAGUUGAACAGGCUAUUAAGUAACACAGAGCUCUGAUACAGAUUGAGGAAAAAGGUAAAUUGUAAGGGAACCUGCACUCUUCACUUAGUGCUACCAUUAGGGAGUGUAUCACGUACCCCCAGGAAAUCAGUUUAAUUUCCUUUUCCUUAAUGUCUUUCAUCCAUUUUGUCAAUUUAAGCUGCAGAUAGUUAAGGUGGGAUUUAAUGUGUUUGUGUGUGUGUUUGUUUUGUUUUGUUUUUGUUUAUUUUUGUGGUUUUUUUGUUUGCUUGGGUUAUUUUUUUGUUACGAUAUUGUUUCCUCAGUCUGUAUCAGAACUAUGUUACAUACUGAAGUCCAUAAUACUGUAGUGUAGUUACAUGGACUGAUGAGACC